GACAGAGGUGCCAAGCGUUAGGCGGAAUCACUGGGCGUAAAGGGUGCGUAGGCGGGUCUUUAAGUCAGGGGUGAAAUCCUGGAGCUCAACUCCAGAACUGCCUUUGAUACUGAAGAUCUUGAGUUCGGGAGAGGUGAGUGGAACUGCGAGUGUAGAGGUGAAAUUCGUAGAUAUUCGCAAGAACACCAGUGGCGAAGGCGGCUCACUGGCCCGAUACUGACGCUGAGGCACGAAAGCGUGGGGAGCAAACAGGG
rnacentral:rRNA from 1 species